UACAGAGGGUGCAAGCGUUAAUCGGAAUUACUGGGCGUAAAGGGCGCGUAGGCGGUCAGCACAAGUCAGUUGUGAAAUCUCCGGGCUUAACUCGGAAAGGUCAACUGAUACUGUGCGACUAGAGUGCAGAAGGGGCAACUGGAAUUCUCGGUGUAGCGGUGAAAUGCGUAGAUAUCGAGAGGAACACCUGCGGCGAAGGCGGGUUGCUGGGCUGACACUGACGCUGAUGCGCGAAAGCCAGGGGAGCGAACGGG
rnacentral:rRNA from 1 species